rnacentral:rRNA from 1 species
UCGAGAAUAAUUCGCAAUGGACGAAAGUCUGACGAUGCGACGCCGUGUGAGUGAUGAAGGCCUUCGGGUCGUAAAGCUCUGUCGCCAGGGAACAAGGCUUGUUCAUGAACAAUGAGCAAGUUUGAGUGUACCUGGAAAGGAAGCGCCGGCUAAUUCCGUGCCAGCAGCUGCGGUAAUACGGAAGGCGCGAGCGUUAAUCGGAAUUACUGGGCGUAAAGGGUGCGUAGGCUGAGAGAUAAGUCAGACGUGAAAUUCCGGAGCUCAACUCCGGAGCUGCAUCUGAAACUAUCUUUCUAGAGGAAGAGCGGAGAAAACGGAAUUCCAUGUGUAGCGGUGAAAUGCGUAGAUAUAUGGAAGAACACCUGUGGCGAAAGCGGUUUUCUAGCUUACUCCUGACGCUGAGGCACGAAAGCAAGGGGAUCAAACA